GAUGAACGCUAGCGGCAGGCCUAACGCAUGCAAGUCGAGGGGUAGAGGAAGCUUGCUGCCUUGAGACCGGCGCACGGGUGCGUAACGCGUAUGCAAUCUACCUUUUACAGAGGGAUAGCCCAGAGAAAUUUGGAUUAAUACCUCAUAGUAUCUUUGCCUGGCAUCGGAUGAUUAUUAAAGUUCCAACGGUAAAAUAUGAGCAUGCGUCCUAUUAGCUAGGUGGUAAGGUAACGGCUUACCAUGGCAACGAUAGGUAGGGGUCAUGAGAGGGAGAUACCCCACACUGGUACUGAGACACGGACCAGAAUCCGACGGGAGGGAGCAGUGAGGAAUAUUGGACAAUGGGCGCAAGCCUGAUCCAGCCAUGCCGCGUGCAGGAAGACGGUCCUAUGGAUUGUAAACUGCUUUUGUACGGGAAGAAACACUCCCUCGUGAGGGAGCUUGACGGUACCGUAAGAAUAAGGAUCGGCUAACUCCGUGCCAGCCGCCGCAGUAAUAC
rnacentral:rRNA from 1 species